UAUGUGCGGAAGGGAUAAGUGCUGAAAGCAUCUAAGCAUGAAGCCCCCCUCAAGAUGAGAUUUCCCUUAGUUUAUCUAAAUAAGACCCCUGAAAGAUGAUCAGGUUGAUAGGUUCGAGGUGGAAGUGUGGCGACACAUGGAGCUGACGAAUACUAAUCGGUCGAAGACUUAUCCUAA
rnacentral:rRNA from 1 species